AUGGCGGAUGGGGGCGGUGGGGGUACGGGCGCUGUGGGCGGUGGCGGAGGUGGCCCGGCCUCGGCGGGGGCGGGGACGGGCGCGGCGGGGGCCGGUGGGAGCGGCGGCCCCAGCAACCCGGCCUCGCUGCCUCCCGGCGACCCACAGCUCAUCGCGCUCAUCGUGGAGCAGCUCAAGAGCCGGGGCCUGUUUGACAGCUUCCGCCGGGAUUGCCUGGCCGACGUGGACACCAAGCCAGCUUACCAAAACCUGAGGCAAAAAGUGGAUAAUUUUGUGUCAACGCAUCUGGACAAGCAGGAGUGGAAUCCUACGAUGAACAAGAACCAGCUGCGAAAUGGCCUGCGGCAGAGCGUGGUUCAGUCAGGGAUGUUGGAAGCUGGAGUGGACAGAAUCAUUUCUCAGGUGGUGGACCCCAAACUAAACCACAUCUUCAGGCCACAGAUAGAACGAGCAAUUCAUGAGUUCCUGGCGGCGCAGAAGAAAGAAGCCGUGCCGGCGCCGCCCCCGGAGCCAGAAAGCCAGGACCCGCCAGCCCCCGCCCAGGACGCGUCCUAAGGUCCGGUAUCCCGUCUUUUGUCCGGGAGCAGUCAUCUCUGACUUAGAGAGAUAGGAAAUGGAUAGAAAAGGGGGUACACAUUGACAUCUUUUGGAAGCCCCACUGCAUGGUGGGGAAGAAGUGGAUUCAGUCCGUAACAGGACCACUUUGGGGAGCAGACAGGCCCAGGUCGUCACUGGUGUCGCCUUUGACUUUGGGGCAGGGUCCGCAGUGAGUGGGGAGUUGGCUGUGUGCCUCUGCCACCCGGCCUGCCUGUCUGAGGGGAUGACACCAGCAGACACUGCAGGCAUCUAAAGGAACACUACAUCUACCUGGGGCCAUCCUGGAACAGACCUUCGUACUUGAACUUGGAGACUGCACAUGGGCUUUCAGGCUUGCCCCCAGGGACAGGCGGAGGUCGCGGGGAAGGAACGUAUGCAGCCCCAGAGAGGCAGGGUCUGGGAGCAGCCGUACAGGGUAGCUGGGAGUGCGUUCUGGGCUGUGCUGCUUUGAUGUUGUUUCUCAGUGGCAAACUAGAGUGUACAAGCCGUUAGCAUCAAGUAGCUUUCAAGUUGUUGUGACCCUCUUGUGCGUGAACCUCGUGGCCUCAGUGUCUGCUCCCCCAAGAGGCGACAAAGCCCGGGACCCUGAUGCAUGAGCAGGCUCAGACACUAGGCAAGAGGAGACAUUGCAGGUGCUCUGUCCGGUCUGCUUCCUUCCCCGUAGGGACAGGAAGUCUUGGGUGUGUGUAUUGUUUUUCUCGUGUUCGUGUUUUUUUAGAAAAGUGA